UCGCUUCAGCAGCACAUAUACUAAAUUUAGAACGAUACGGAGAAGAUUAGCAUGGCCCCUGUGCAAGGAUGACAUGCAAAUUUGUGAAGCGGUCCACAUGAAAAAAUUUUUU
ensembl:snRNA U6 U6 spliceosomal RNA